rnacentral:rRNA from 1 species
GAUGAACGCUGGCGGCGUGCCUAAUACAUGCAAGUCGAGCGAACAGACGAGGAGCUUGCUCCUCUGACGUUAGCGGCGGACGGGUGAGUAACACGUGGAUAACCUACCUAUAAGACUGGGAUAACUUCGGGAAACCGGAGCUAAUACCGGAUAACAUGUUGAACCGCAUGGUUCAACAGUGAAAGACGGUUUUGCUGUCACUUAUAGAUGGAUCCGCGUCGCAUUAGCUAGUUGGUAAGGUAACGGCUUACCAAGGCAACGAUGCGUAGCCGACCUGAGAGGGUGAUCGGCCACACUGGAACUGAGACACGGUCCAGACUCCUACGGGAGGCAGCAGUAGGGAAUCUUCCGCAAUGGGCGAAAGCCUGACGGAGCAACGCCGCGUGAGUGAAGAAGGUCUUCGGAUCGUAAAACUCUGUUAUUAGGGAAGAACAAAUGUGUAAGUAACUAUGCACGCCUUGACGGUACCUAAUCAGAAAGCCACGGCUAACUACGUG